CCCAGUUCGGAUUGUAGUCUGNAACCCGACUACAUGAAGCUGGAAUCGCUAGUAAUCGCAGGUCAGCAUACUGCGGUGAAUACGUUCCCGGGUCUUGUACACACCGCCCGUCACACCAUGGGAGCCGGAAAUGCCCGAAGCCAGUGACCCAACCUUAGGGAGGGAGCUGUCGAAGGUGGAGCCGGUAACUGGGGUGAAGUCGUAACAAGGUACC
rnacentral:rRNA from 1 species